rnacentral:rRNA from 1 species
UCGCGAAUGCUCUAGAUUAAGUUGAUCAUGGCUCAGAUCUGAACGCUGGCGGCAGGCUUAACACAUGCAAGUCGAGCGGGGAAGGGUAGCUUGCUACCUAACCUAGCGGCGGACGGGUGAGUAAUGCUUAGGAAUCUGCCAUUUAGUGGGGGACAACAUUCCGAAAGGAAUGCUAAUACCGCAUACGUCCUACGGGAGAAAGCAGGGGAUCUUCGGACCUUGCGCUAAAUGAUGAGCCUAAGUCGGAUUAGCUAGUUGGUGGGGUAAAGGCCUACCAAGGCGACGAUCUGUAGCGGGUCUGAGAGNGAUGAUCCGCCACACUGGGACUGAGACACGGCCCAGACUCCUACGGGAAGGCAGCAGUGGGGAAUAUUGGACAAUGGGCGGAAGCCUGAUCCAGCCAUGCCGCGUGUGUGAAGAAGGCCUUUUGGUUGUAAAGCACUUUAAGCGAGGAGGAGGCUCUCCUAGUUAAUACCUAGGAUGAGUGGACGUUACUCGCAGA